AUGGGUUGCUGUUGUUUAGAUGCUAAAACACAUCCAACUCUUUUUGUGACUCCAUGGACUGUAGCAUGCCAGGUUCUUCUGUCCAUGGGAUUUCUCCGGCAAGAAUACUGGAGUGGGUUGCCAUUUUCUUUUCCAGGAGAUCUUUCCAAGCAAGGAAUUGAACCAACAUCUCCAGCAUUGGCAGGUGGAUUCCUUACCACUGAGCCAGUAGGAAAGCCUUUAAGUAUGGGAAAUGAGUUUUGACUGUUAAGCACCUGGAUGAAGAGUCCUCUGUUCAGCUUGUCAGAGUCCUGUGACCUACAAAGACCCUCUGGUUGCACUAGGAUCAUUCGACUGAAGUAAGAUCUAAUUGUUUUAAUUAGAAUAUGACUUUUACUGUUGAAUCAACUUUUAAUAAGAUGACUUGGCAUAUGUCUAUAAUGUGCCAAUAGCUGCUAAUUUUGAAAAAAAGAGAAGAAUGUGAGCAUUAUUCUGUGACAAAAUCUUAUGUAUUCCAGUUUCUAUUCAUCUUUUAUUUCAUGGAAAUGAGCCCAUUUUGGGGGAAGCACUAUCUAAAUACUUUAAUUUCUGUGUGGCAAUCAAAACUGGUACAAUUUCCUUGCCUUUGAGGUAUCAAUUGAUUUUUAUUCAAUUGUAAUUUUAUUGUAAGGAGUCAAAUUAUUCUCUUUUGUAACUUAGGUUGAUUCAUUAUUUUAUUUUAAAAUCAUGACAACAGUGCAGUUUGUGUCAUGAUAUGGCACGUUUUUUGCUUUUCUUAUUUAUUCCAAGUUUGUACAGGUCUGAUGAACUUGUGGGACAUCAGUUUAUAUAUGGCCACAUGUAGACUAUGGACUUCCAUUUAGGCAUUAGAAUAUAAAGAUACACUUUAAAGAAUGUUUAUAGUUCUUCCUGGAGAACUCCUAUUUUGAGCAGAUGAUGCUAGUGUAUGACUGAAAUACUUUUUUUCUGUAAAACAAUAGCUGCAAUCAAUGUUCCACUGCUGGUUCAGGCUUACUAUGUAGAAAACUUUAAAUGAUAUGGAUGUUGCAAAGGUUCAGAAAACAGCACGGAACCAACAGCUAGGAAAUCUGAGGUGAUCCAGCAUGACCUUCAAAAUAGGUAAGGAAUUGGCAUGAACCAUUUCAACCUUCUGACUGUUCUCUAGGUUCUGAAAUGAAGGAGUUAGAUUAAACAAGGAAAGGUGGCAAAUUCUUGAGCCUUGAAGAUGAGACAUGUAAUAUAUUAAUAUGAAUUGUAUGGAGUGGCUGGGUGUGAGACAAUAGGGAAGGAUGAGUCUAUAGGGAGAGAGAGGCUGUGUCUCUUCUAAAGCUGUUGAGGUUCAAGUAUUUUAAAGCUGGACAAACAAGUAAAUCAUCUGGGCUGAGGAAGGGUGAAGCAGAAAGUGGACUGAACUUCACUACUGGAUUGAAUAAAUUCUAAGGUCGUUUCCA
rnacentral:lncRNA from 1 species